rnacentral:rRNA from 1 species
GACGAACGCUGGCGGCGUGCUUAACACAUGCCAGUCGAACGGAAAGGCCCUGCUUUUGUGGGGUGCUCGAGUGGCGAACGGGUGAGUAACACGUGAGUAACCUGCCCUUGACUUUGGGAUAACUUCAGGAAACUGGGGCUAAUACCGGAUAGGAGCUCCUGCUGCAUGGUGGGGGUUGGAAAGUUUCGGCGGUUGGGGAUGGACUCGCGGCUUAUCAGCUUGUUUGUGGGGUAGUGGCUUACCAAGGCUUUGACGGGUAGCCGGCCUGAGAGGGUGACCGGGCACAUUGGGACUGAGGUACGGACCAGACUCCUACGGGAGGCAGCAGUGGGGAAUAUUGCACAAUGGGCGGAAGCCUGAUGCAGCAACGCCGCGUGCGGGAUGACGGCCUUCGGGUUGUAAACCGCUUUCGCCUGUGACGAAGCGUGAGUGACGGUAAUGGGUAAAGAAGCACCGGCUAACUACGUA